rnacentral:misc_RNA from 1 species
AAGUCGUAACAAGGUUUCCGUAGGUGAACCUGCGGAAGGAUCACUAAAGAUUUCGCCCUUCGGGGCUCUCUUUAUUCACACACCCCUGUGCACUUUGGCCACACUCUUCAUUGAGUGUGUGUCUUUUUAUUACCAUACCUAUAAACUCAAGUUAUUGAAUGUAAAAUCGUUAUAAACUAAUAUAACUUUCAACAACGGAUCUCUUGGUUCUC